rnacentral:misc_RNA from 1 species
GUACCAGGCUGCUUGGAUUGUGGAUGAUACUGAUGAGGAAGAUUCAGAUAGUUUCAGUGCUGAUGAUGGUAUGGUACUUGAUGAAACUGAAAGUUAUGGGCCAGGUGCAGAGGGCAUUGAUGACUCUGAACUUGAUGAUGAUCAAGCUACCUUAGAUCUCAGAAAUUCUGAUGAAGAGACUGAAAAUGAUUCUGUGAUGAUGGAAGGCGAAAACUUAACAAGAGAACAGAUAGAGGAUGAGAUUAAAAAAAUUAAAGAAGCACAUGCUGAAGAUGAGGAAUUUCCUGAUGAAGUGGAAACUCCAUUGGAUAUUCCUGCUAGAAAGCGUUUCGCCAAGUAUAGAGGUCUCAAGUCUUUUAGGACUUCUUCAUGGGACCCCAAAGAGUCUCUACCUCUAGAAUAUGGCAGAAUUUUUGCAUUUGAUAAUUUUGCAAAAACGCAAAAACACGUUUUUGCAAAGGCAUUAGAAAUGGACCAAGACAACAGGGAUGACUGCAUACGAGCAGGCCAGUACGCAAGACUUCACAUUAAGGAAUUACCCACUGCUGUUGCUUCCAAAUUAUGUGUACAUGCAAAUACGGUGCCUAUAAUUGCAUGUGGCCUCUUGCAGCAUGAGUCUAAGAUGUCUGUUCUUCAUUUUAGCAUUAAAAAGAAUGACUCGUAUGAUGCCCCUAUCAAAGCCAAAGAAGAACUAGUAUUUCAUGUUGGUUUUCGGCAAUUUGUUGCAAGGCCAAUAUUUUCCACUGACAACAUUAAUUCAGACAAGCACAAGAUGGAGAGGUUCCUUCAUGCUGGGCGGUUCGGGCGGUUCUCCAUGGCAUCAAUUUAUGCUCCAAUUUGUUUUCCUUCUCUUCCUUUGAUAGUCCUGAAGCAUUCAGAAGGAGGUGCUGCCCCCACUGUUGCUGCUGUUGGUUCCUUGAGAAGCAUUGAUCCUGACAGGAUAAUACUGAAGAAGAUUAUAUUAACUGGUUACCCCCAACGAGUGUCAAAAUUGAAGGCCUCAGUGCGAUAUAUGUUCCAUAACCCAGAGGAUGUAAGAUGGUUCAAGCCUGUAGAAGUGUGGACGAAAUGUGGUCGUCGUGGUCGCAUUAAGGAACCUGUUGGUACACAUGGGGCGAUGAAGUGCGUCUUUAAUGGAGUUCUUCAACAGCACGAUACUGUUUGCAUGAGCCUGUACAAACGGGCAUAUCCCAAGUGGCCAGAACAUUGGUUCCCUAUUCUUGAUGUCUGAUCAGACAGCAGCUGGUCCUCCAUCUUUUAUUGAUUCUGAAAGACACAAGAUAACCUUGGUUAUUUGUGGGAAUGAAGCUUUGGUUCAGAGAUAGUCGAUUCCAGUUUCCUUUUUACUAGGAUGUUAGAAACAUUAGAGUUCUGUGGAUUAGUUGUACCUUCCCUAUUGUAGUUCUGCCAUUUUUUUCCCCUUCCCUUUUUCUCUUCAACACAGGAAAAUAUUUUUUACAAAGCAUGAAUUGUAAGAGUAGUAGACGGGAAGAAAAGUGAAAACAAGACUGGCUUUCUCGUUCAUUAAUUUAUGCUAUGGGUUCUGCAUAAAUUAAUUAACGAGAAAGCAAUUCUUUAUUGAAGUCUCAUCCCUUGUGGUUAUGUAUGUGGAUUGUGACCAUCUUUCUGCGCACAUGACUCUAAAGUGUUGUUUUUCUAUUAUAUGGUCCGGUCUGCUGAUUAACUUGACUUAUGAUGAAUCCAAAUAUUUAUUCAUUUCAGCACAAGUCAAG